AAGCGGUAAUCGGAAUUACUGGGCGUAAAGGGAGCGUAGGCGGUUGUGUAAGUCUGUCGUGAAAUCCCCGGGCUCAACCUGGGGAUGGCGAUGGAUACUGGGCAGCGAGAGUGUGUGAGAGGAUGGUGGAAUUCCCGGUGUAGCGGUGAAAUGCGUAGAGAUCGGGAGGAACAUCAGUGGCGAAGGCGGCCAUCUGGGACAACACUGACGCUGAAGCACGAAAGCGUGGGGAGCAAACAGG
rnacentral:rRNA from 1 species